rnacentral:rRNA from 1 species
GAUGAACGCUAGCUACAGGCUUAACACAUGCAAGUCGAGGGGAAACGAUAGAGAAAGCUUGCUUUUUCUAGGCGUCGACCGGCGCACGGGUGAGUAACGCGUAUCCAACCUGCCCAUCACUUGGGGAUAACCUUGCGAAAGUAAGACUAAUACCCAAUGAUAUCUCUAGAAGACAUCUGAAAGAGAUUAAAGAUUUAUCGGUGAUGGAUGGGGAUGCGUCUGAUUAGCUUGUUGGCGGGGUAACGGCCCACCAAGGCGACGAUCAGUAGGGGUUCUGAGAGGAAGGUCCCCCACAUUGGAACUGAGACACGGUCCAAACUCCUACGGGAGGCAGCAGUGAGGAAUAUUGGUCAAUGGACGAGAGUCUGAACCAGCCAAGUAGCGUGCAGGAUGACGGCCCUAUGGGUUGUAAACUGCUUUUAUAAGGGAAUAAAGUGAGUCUCGUGAGACUUUUUGCAUGUACCUUAUGAAUAAGGACCGGCUAAUUCCGUGCCAGCAGCCGCGGUAAUACGGAAGGUCCGGGCGUUAUCCGGAUUUAUUGGGUUUAAAGGGAGCGUAGGCCGGAGAUUAAGCGUGUUGUGAAAUGUAGACGCUCAACGUCUGCACUGCAGCGCGAACUGGUUUCCUUGAGUACGCACAAAGUGGGCGGAAUUCGUGGUGUAGCGGUGAAAUGCUUAGAUAUCACGAAGAACUCCGAUUGCGAAGGCAGCUCACUGGAGCGCAACUGACGCUGAAGCUCGAAAGUGCGGGUAUCGAACAGGAUUAGAUACCCUGGUAGUCCGCACGGUAAACGAUGGAUGCCCGCUGUUGGUCUGAAUAGGUCAGCGGCCAAGCGAAAGCAUUAAGCAUCCCACCUGGGGAGUACGCCGGCAACGGUGAAACUCAAAUGAAUUGACG